GACGAACGCUGGCGGCGUGCUUAACACAUGCAAGUCGAGCGAUUCACUUCGGUGAAGAGCGGCGGACGGGUGAGUAACGCGUGGGUAACCUGCCUCAUACACAUGGAUAACAUACCGAAAGGUAUGCUAAUACAAGAUGAUAUAAGAGAUUCGCAUGGAUUUCUUAUCAAAGCUCCGGCGGUAUGAGAUGGACCCGCGUCUGAUUAGCUAGUUGGUAAGGUAACGGCUUACCAAGGCGACGAUCAGUAGCCGACCUGAGAGGGUGAUCGGCCACAUUGGAACUGAGACACGGUCCAAACUCCUACGGGAGGCAGCAGUGGGGAAUAUUGCACAAUGGGCGAAAGCCUGAUGCAGCAACGCCGCGUGAGCGAUGAAGGCCUUCGGGUCGUAAAGCUCUGUCCUCAAGGAAGAUAAUGACGGUACUUGAGGAGGAAGCCCCGGCUAACUACGUGCCAGCCGCCGCCGUAAUAC
rnacentral:rRNA from 1 species